CCUUCAAUCUGUACCAAAAAUUUAUCAACUGCCCAACAUUGAUAUUUAAAAACACCAACUUACUACAGCUAUAACCAAAUUCCUAAUAAAAUUCAACAAUUAAUUCAAAUUAGAUGAUGAACAUUAAAGAACCAACUAAAAAUUAUUUUGAACAACAUUCUUAACAAGCAUACUUUUGGAUUCAACAACAAUAACAAAGUUGAACAUAACAAACAAGUAGAUUCCACGAACAAGAAAAUAAUCAAACAUAUACUAAUUUUAGAUUCGAAAAUAACAAACAAAACACGGACAAAAAUGAAACUUAAACCAACUAAUCCGGAUCGAAACCAUGACGAACUCGAAUGGAAACAAAUCUGCCCGGAACUUUUGAAACCCAAAAUAAACUCGAAUCUGCCCGAAAUCUCAACAACUAUCUCGACAAACCUAAACCAACAUGAACCAACAACGUGUUGGGACUCAAAUGACAACCCAAACUUUCAAAACUGGACUGAACCUUUGGUUUAUGACGGAGACAAGAAAUGAGUAAAAAAAACAAUUGGCUGGUUCACGACACUUCUCGUUGGAGAUGGGGCAGUGAGGGCUGGGUGACGGAUGACGUUCAGCUGAACUGGUUGGUGGUUAUUUGACUGGUGAAGGAGACAGUAGACGUUUGGAGGCAGCAGUUCGUCGUGGAAUGGACUGGUUGACGACGUGAAGCUGAAGGAUGUUUGUUUGGUUUGGUUAGUGACGAGAAAGAAAAAUUUGGAUGAAAGUAGGUCGUUUGUUUGUUCGACGGUGGUCUGGAGCAGAAGCUGGACGAUGAGCAGCUGUUGGAGCUUUUUUUUGUUGUUAUGGCUGCUUCAGGUCGUUCAUGGCGGGUGGUCGUGUGGAUGGUUCCGGGGAUGGACAUGACUCGUGAGGGGUGGAUUGUUUGGUUUUUCGGUGGUUUGGGGGGGGGGGNNNNNNNNNNNNNNNNNNNNNNNNNNNNNNNNNNNNNNNNNNGGGGUGGGUUGUUUGGUUUUUUGGGGGUUUGGGGGGGGGGGGUCGUCUGGUGAACGGAGUGGGGUUAUGGGGUUGUUUGAUGAAGAAGAGAAGAGGGGGGUAGGGGUCGUUUGUUGGUAGGCAGCUGGGGGAGAAUGUAUUUUGUCUCUUAGGGUUUGAGAAUUUUUGGGUGUAGAAUUAAAAAAAUGAAAGAAGGGAGGUGGGUUAGAUCAGAUGGUG
rnacentral:lncRNA from 1 species